CUUUAAGAACUUAGAAUUAGAGGAGAAAUCUGCUACUCCUCCUCCAGCAGAACCUGUUUCUCUGCCACAAGAACCACCAAAGCCAAGAGUUGAAGCUAAACCAGAAGUUCAAUCUCAGCCACCUCGUGUGCGUGAACAGCGACCUAGAGAGCGACCUGGUUUCCCCCCUAGAGGACCAAGACCAGGCAGAGGAAAUAUGGAACAGAAUGACUGACAACCGUAGAAUAAUUCGCUAUCCAGAUAGUCAUCAACUUUUUGUUGGUAACUUGCCACAUGAUAUUGAUGAAAAUGAACUGAAAGAAUUCUUCAUGAGUUUUGGAAACGUUGUGGAACUUCGCAUCAAUACCAAGGGUGUUGGGGGAAAGCUUCCAAAUUUUGGCUUUGUGGUUUUUGAUGACUCUGAACCAGUUCAGAGAAUCUUAAUUGCAAAACCGAUUAUGUUUCGAGGAGAAGUACGUUUAAAUAUGGAAGAGAAAAAAACAAGAGCUGCAAGAGAGCGAGAAACCAGAGGUGGUGGUGAUGAUCGCAGGGAUAUUAGGCGCAAUGAUCAAGGUCCUGGUGGUCCACGUGGAAUUGUGGGUGGCGGAAUGAUGUGUGAUCGUGAUGGAAGAGGACCUCCUCGAAGGGGUGGCAUGGCACAGAAACUUGGCUCUGGAAGAGGAACCGGGCAAAUGGAAGGCCGCUUCACAGGACAGCGUCGCUGAAGCUCCACUGUUGGCAGAGUCUUGGCAGUGGUACAAUAUUCAUCAUGUUUGCAUUCUUGUUAAUUUUUUUUUUUGGCUUUGGAAUGUGACACAGCCUUUUUGAUCAUUUCUUUGAUGUGAAAAGCAUCUUUUGGUUAUCAGUUAAAUUGAGGUGGACAUUAUUUCCCCAGUUUCACAACAGGAUUCACAUUGUUAAUUUAUAAAUCUAGACUUGGAGAAUUAAGGACUGAGAACUGACCAUAUUUUAAACUAUCUAUGACAAAGUGAACUGAAAAGGACAUGCCCACUGAAUUCAGAUCCUUUGAG